AGCAGCGCGUAGGGGUCGGAGCGCCCCUCCAGGAGCCCCCCCAGGAACCGAUCCUUGCAGCGCAGGGAGCGCGCACCGAGCAGGUGAACGCGCAGCACGCCCUGGGGACACCGCGGGGUCAGCGGGGACACCCCCGGGGGGACACCGGGACACCCCCGGGGGGGACACCGGGACAGGGAGGGACACCGCGGGAUCAGUGGGGACACCCCCGGGGGGGACACCGGCACCGGGGAGGGACACCGGGACACCCCCGGAGGGGACACCGCGGGAUCAGCGGGGACACUGGGACACCCCCGGGGGGAAACCGGCACCGGGGUGGGACACCGCGGGAUCAGCGGGGACACCGGGACACCCCCGGGGGGAAACCGGCACCGGGGGGGGACACCGCGAGAUCAGCGGGGACACCGGGACACCCCCUGGGGGGACACCGGGACCAGGGGGGGACACCGCGGGAUCAGCGGGGACACCGGGACACCCCCGGGGGGGACACCGGCACCGGGGAGGGACAGCGGGACCAGGAGGGGACACCGCGGGAUCCACCGGGACACCCCCGGGGGGGACACCGGGACCAGGGUGGGACACCGCGGGGUCAGCGGGGACACCGGGACACCCCCGGGGGGGACACCGGCACCGAGGAGGGACAGCGGGACCGGGGAGGGACACCGUGGGGUCAGCGGGGACACCGGGACACACCCAGGAGGGGACACCGGGACAGGGAGGGACAACGCGGGGUCAGCGGGGACACCCCCGGGGGGGACACCGGGACCGGGAGGGGACAGCGGGACAGGGAGGGGACACCGGGACUGGGAGGGGACACCGGGACUGGGAGGGGACACCGGGACCAGGAAGGGUCAGAGGGGAGGGGACACCGGCCCGGGAGAGGACACCGGACCCGGGAUCCCCCACCCCAGCCUGGGAGGGGACACCGGGACCGGGAGGGGACACCGGGACCGGGAGGGGACACCGGGACGGGGAGGGGACACGGCCCCGGGACCCCCGCACGACCCCCGGAGAGGGCGGUGAAAGGGAGAAAUGGAGGAGGGAGGCGGAGGGGAAAGGAAGGGGAAAAAGGAAAGGAAAAAAGAAAAAAGGGGAAAAUGAGGGGAAAAAAGGGGAAAAUGGGGACGGAGAAAGGAGAAGGGGAAGGGGAAAAAAGGAGAGAAAAAAGGAGAGAAAAAAGGGGGAAAAUGAAGGGAAAAAUGGGGAAAAAAGAGGGGAAAAGGGGAAAAUGAGAGGAAAAAUGG
rnacentral:lncRNA from 1 species